GCUGCCAUCUCCCCCACAGGUGACAUCUGUGGGGAAAUGUCCUUUCCUCAUUACCUUGUAGUGUCUCAGCAAGGAGAUAAUGUGCAGACUGGCAAUCACCAGACUCUGGGUCGGCUUCAUUUUUCCUGUCAGCCCCAAGGUCAUUUGUGCAGACAGGAAGGGUGUGCCAAUAUACAUCUCUGAGCACUAAUUAAUGUUUUCAAAGGAAUGACAGGGCAGGAAAUUUCUUCAGGUACAAGAAUGAGAGGAGAAGGAUUGGGGAGACUUCCUCUCCACUCCCCCCCCCCCGCCAAGAGCUAAUAUAGAGUAAAGAAUUAAAAUGAAACGCUCAAACAUCCCGCCAGGCAUCUCCAACCUCAUAGCAUACCAUACUAGGGGAAUGACUGAAGAAUUUCAAAGGAUCAAUGUGGGCAUUCUGAACAAUUCAAUGAUUUUAUCACUUCAAAGCAAAGUGCCCCUUUUGAAUAUCCUUAUUAUGAAUUGUUUAUAGACCAUUUCCAGCAAUUGUGCUUCAUUGGGCUCUCAGCUCUACAGCCGUGUACAUAGUGAACACUCCAGCAUGCCCUGAACAUUUGUCUGUGCAACCCCAGGCUUUAACGAGAUGAACGUUGCUGACCCAGAGCUGCUUUGUUCAGUUUCUUUACAAGAGCCAGAAUCAUUAUAAACUCACCUGAACUGAGAGAGUCACUUGGCAGACUUCUGAUGUUUGAACCUUACUAAUGAAAGCAGUGAUAUAUAGGAACAACUACCAUUUAAUUGUAGGAAUUCACACUGAGAAAAGUGAUUGCUUGCAACUCACAUGUAUUCACGCAGUUUAUAAUUCCCCCAAACAAGUCUCUGCCAGAGACGCUGCUGCACCAUUUGCAGGGCAAGAACAGAAAAAGCACAAAAAAGUCUGUCCCACAUGUGUGUCAAAGAAAUGAGAACACACCAUCUACUUUGCCAGUGAUAGAGGGUCUGCUCUCCCCACUCUGGCAUGCACACUGGAAGUGUCCCCCAUCUGAGGAAGGACAUGGUGGAGAAUGAACUUAGGGAGUAUUUGGGACAAAGUAAAAUCUAUUAAAUGUUUGCCUAUAUUCUCCAGUAUUGCAAAAUGCAAAGAGAGGUAGAGUCUGUGACAAGUCUCCUCUCAAAUAGAUGGAAAAACCUUGAGUCACUCUUUGGAACAGCAUUUUGGUAAAGAACAAACUCUUGCAGGGAAGUGGGUUAAUCAGGGAAAUAAUUAGAAGUUAUUUUGGAGACAAGGCUGGUGAAUAAGAUUAAUAAUGCCACUGGCAAAGGGCAUAUUCUAGGCCAGAAAUGAAAUGUACAGGGGUGCAGGGAUUGUUACUAUGUUAGAGAGAGAGAGGGGGGAGAAUGAUUGAAAAUGUGAAAGCAUCAGAUGAAGAGUAAACUCACUACACAAUUCUAUAGGCCUUGAUUCUGAUCAUGAAAACUCAUGGGAAACGGCGUCUGGCAGAUCAUUCCACCCCACCUCUGACUAUGCUCAGACUAGCCCUCCAGGACCUCAUCAACUAGACUUCCCAGUGCAUUCAUCCAA
rnacentral:lncRNA from 1 species